rnacentral:rRNA from 1 species
GACGAACGCUGGCGGCGUGCUUAACACAUGCAAGUCGAACGAUGAACCGAGAGCUUGCUCUUGGGGAUUAGUGGCGAACGGGUGAGUAACACGUGAGUAACCUGCCCUGGACUCUGGGAUAACCCCGAGAAAUCGGAGCUAAUACCGGAUAGGACCCUGUACCGCAUGGUGGGGGGUGGAAAGUUUUUUCGGUUUGGGAUGGACUCGCGGCCUAUCAGCUUGUUGGUGAGGUAAUGGCUGACCAAGGCGUCGACGGGUAGCCGGCCUGAGAGGGUGACCGGGCACACUGGGACUGAGACACGGCCCAGACGCCGACGGGAGGCAGCAGUGGGGAAUAUUGCACAAUGGGCGCAAGCCUGAUGCAGCAGCGCCGCGUGCGGGAGGACGGCCUUGGGGUUGUAAACCGCUUUUAGUAAGGAAGAAGGGGAGCUUGCUCCUUGACGGUACUUGCAGAAAAAGGACCGGCUAACUACGUGCCAGCAGCCGCCGUAACAC